rnacentral:misc_RNA from 1 species
GCCAUACCAUUUUAUUAUCAAGG